rnacentral:rRNA from 1 species
GACGAACGCUGGCGGCGUGCUUAACACAUGCAAGUCGAACGGAAAGGCCCUGCUUUUGCGGGGUGCUCGAGUGGCGAACGGGUGAGUAACACGUGAGUAUCCUGCCCUUGAUUUUGGGAUAACCUCAGAAAACUGGUGCUAAUACCGAAUAGGAGCUCCUGCUGCACGGUGGGGGUUGGACAGUUUCGUCGCCUGCGGAUGGACUCUCGGCUUAUCCGCUUGUUGGUGGGGUAGUGCCUCUCCAAGGCUUUGACGGGUCGUCGGCCUGAGAGGGUGCCCAGCCUCAUUAGGUCAGAGCUGCGCCCCACACUCCUUCGGGUGCCACCGGUGGGGAAUUUCGCACACUGGGCGGAAUCCUCAUGCAGCAGCCCCGCGUGCGAGAUGACGGCCUUCGGGUCGUAAACCCCUUUCGCCUAUAACGAAGCGUGUCUGACGGCAAUGGGAAAAGAAACACCGCCAAAUUACGU